CAGUCGCCACGGUAAUACGUAGGGGGCGAGCGUUGUCCGAAGUUGCUGGGCGUAAAGCGCGCGUAGGCGGCUUCUUAAGUCUGAGGUGAAAGGUUCAACGCUUAACGUGAACAGUGCCUUGGAUACUGGGGAGCUUGAGUAUGGGAGAGGGCAGUGGAAUGGCUGGAGUAGCGGUGAAAUGCGUAGAGAUGUGGAGGAACACCAGUGGCGAAGGCGACUCUCUGGUCUGUAACUGACGCUGAGGAGCGAAAGCGGGGGGAGCGAACAGGAUUAGAUACCCCCGUAGUCCCUGUCUCUUAUA
rnacentral:rRNA from 1 species